UAGGGAAGAGCAGGAACUAACAUUCUUGCCAAGCGAGAGCGUACAAAGCCUGCCUCGCGGCUCGAGCUGAGCUGUGAUAGGUCGGGUGUCCGCCGAGCCGGAAGCACGCGACAACCUCAUUGGGUUAAAUUGCGUGUCAUUCAAAGCCCUCACAGCCGUUAGGCGGGAUGUGAGCUGUAGUUUGGUUGAGAAACAAUAAAUGCGGCCUAGCUGAGAUCAUUUGACUGAGUGAUCUUCGGAACUGCUGCUUUUCAGCCAUCGAUGCUAACAAGAAAAGGGGGAAGACCAGAAACCCGGAAAAGGUGGAGUACUUCCAUCCUCCCAUGAGGUUACCCCUCUCCAGUCGCCUUGACAACGUGGAAGUUGAAGCUGUAAACACCUCGUCUCGGUGCCAGGAAGACACUGCUCUCCUGAUCAAAAUGACUGCCCACGUUCACCAGGAUCUGAAUUCACGGGCAUGAAAGGACGGAGGAUGGAUAACAGGAAAGGGUGAAAAUGCCACACGAACGCUGCCAAGGCUGUGUAGGCUCGUGGUUGGUCUGGCGACUGGCGGAGAAGGCGACCCGGCCGCUGCCCGAUCGUACCGACAUACCCAGAGCGUUCCCGGCUGGUUCGGAUGACGGCGUGGAGUCGCAGACCACCAGACAUUUCCCUUCAAGAAUGAUGGGUUCUGUGUCAUUCUGUGCCUCGGACCCCCGUGGACCCCACAGCAGCAUCAGCAGCGUCAUGGCCAGAAGUACGGUAAGGUCAACUGGAUGCAUGAUUGAAGCUUGAAUUGUUGUUGAAUUAAAAAAAAAUAGUACUUCUUAGCUUUCAGAUGUAGACGUAAAUAACCGAGGUCAUUUUUUUUCUUCGUUUUAAAAAAAAAAAAGUAUCUUUGACGUCAGUCAGGCCGUUGUCGGUCUUCUCAAAUUGGCUUCCUCAGCAAAAAAGCCCUGACAAGGCGGAUGGAGAGUAUCUGGGGAUGAGAAGAAUUUGACAAGAUGAGCAAAAAGCUCGUUCGGAGAGAUGCAUAGAUUUGACAACACGAGCAGAAGGAUGCAGGACCCAGGCAGUGGCGGCGGCGGGGGGGACAAAGAGCGAGGGGGUGGAGGGAGGAACAACUCCACUGAGUGACCAUCUGUCUUUUACACGUAUACCUCCUUCCCACUUCACGCCGCCCGACAUGCAUUUCCUUGCACCUUCACGCUUGUGAAUGCCUUUUUUCUUCGCUCAAACCAGUUGAACAUUUGUAAACAUUACGCUCAAAACUACUUUUCAUAUGACAACUUUUUUUUUUUAAAACAUGCUCUAUAUUUAUGAAUAUUAUUGCAAAAAAAAACAUACACACCUGUAUCACAUUGAGGAACCUCGCAUUCCAUACUCAUCUUCUCGUCUCCUCAUCAUUCCACACAACAACAAUCAAGUCAGAUCCGAGCCAAGUCAGAUGACGGUGAUGUGAUGAUCUCUCUCUCUUUGUAUCGCUAGCUCGCUCCGCCACCCCCACUUUUUUUUUUUUCCCUCCGCCUCUCUCGUUUUCUCUCUUCUUCUACAUCCACCCACCAUCCAUCGCAGGGAAAAAUUCAAAACAUAAAGUAAUUGAGUAUGAGUGAUUUCAAAGAAAAGAACCUUGAGUGCAAUGCAACUUUUUUUUUUUUUUUUUAAUGUGAAGGACGGUUGGUUUAUUGAAAAGAAGAGGAGACUCGCUGGCUGCGUACCAUCUUAUACAAAAUGUAGUGUUAUGUUAUGUAUAUUCUUUGGUUAGUCUGCAACAUGCGGAUCAUUUAUUUCAAUAUAUCAAGUACUGAUACGGCGGUCUAGUGUUUAGCGUGCAGACCUCACAGCUAGGAGACCCGAGUUCAAUCCCACCCUCGGCCAUCUCUGUGUGGAGUUUGCAUGUUCUGCGUGGGUUUUCUCCGGGUACUCCGGUUUCCUCCCACAUUCUAAAAACAUGCUAGGUUAAUUGGCGACUCCAAAUUGUCCAUAGGUAUGAAUGUGAGUGUGAAUGGUUGUUU